AGCGCAGGUGGGCUGUCAAGGUCUGUCUUAAAGUGCGGGCUUAACCCGUGAUGGGAUAGAAACUGGCAGUCUUGAGUGCAGGAGAGGAAAGCGGAAUUCCUAGUGUAGCGGUGAAAUGCGUAGAUAUUAGGAGGAACACCAGUGGCGAAGGCGGCUUUCUGGACUGUAACUGACACUGAGGCUCGAAAGCCAGGGGAGCGAACG
rnacentral:rRNA from 1 species